AUUGAACGCUGGCGGAAUGCUUUACACAUGCAAGUCGAACGGCAGCACGGGGGCAACCCUGGCGGCGAGUGGCGAACGGGUGAGUAAUACAUCGGAACGUGCCCAGUCGUGGGGGAUAACGUAGCGAAAGUUACGCUAAUACCGCAUACGAUCUACGGAUGAAAGCGGGGGACCGUAAGGCCUCGCGCGAUUGGAGCGGCCGAUGUCAGAUUAGGUAGUUGGUGAGGUAAAGGCUCACCAAGCCGACGAUCUGUAGCUGGUCUGAGAGGACGACCAGCCAGCCUGGGACUGAGACACGGCCCAUACUCCUACGGGAGGCAGCAGUAGGGAAUUUUUGACAAUGGGCGCAAGCCUGAUCCAGCCAUUCCGCAUGCAGGACGAAGGCCUUCGGGUUGUAAACUGCUUUUGUACGGAACGAAAAGGCUCUGGUUAAUACCUGGGGCUCAUGACGGUACCGUAAGAAUAAGCACCGACUAACUACGUGCCAGCCGCCGCGGUAU
rnacentral:rRNA from 1 species